UUUUUUUUUUUUUUUUUUUAGCCAGGGUCAAAGAUGUGAUGCAGUGGGUGAAGAGUUGUUAUGUGUGUGCCAAAUGUAAAGGGGAAACUUGUGCUUAUCCUAGUUUGUUACAACCUCUCCCAAUCCCUUCUCAAGCAUGGCAAGAGAUUUCAAUGAAUUUUAUUGAAGGUCUACCUAAAUCAAAAGGGAAAGAUACAAUUUUAGUGGUGGUUUGCAGAUUGACCAAGGUAGGCCAUUUUAUUCCUCUGUCUCAUCCAUAUUCAGCAGCUUGAUUAGCACAUCUUUUUAUGGAUACUGUGUUCAAGCUUCAUGGAGUUCCUUAGAUUAUUACUUCUGAUAGAUAUAAGGUUUUUACUAGUUUAUUUUUGCAAGAAUUAUUCAAGUGUAUGGGGGUUAAGCUAGCUUUUUGUUCAGCCUAUCAUCCAAAUCUGAUGGACAAACUGAGAGAGUUAAUCAGUUUCUUGAACUCUAUUUGAGGUGCAUGGUUCACUUGAAACCAUCCACUUGGACCACUUGGUUACAAUUGGCAGAGAGGUGGUAUAAUUCUUCCUCUCAUAGUGCCAUUAAGAUGUCUCCUUUUGAGGCACUUCAUGGAUAUGUUCCACCAUUUUUGCCUAUGUGUUCAGUUGCUGGUGUGAAAGUAGGGGCUGUAGGUGAAUAUUUGCAUGACAGGUUGCAAUUCAGCUCCAUUCAUAAAGAAAACUUGAAGCAAGCUCAGAAUAGAAUGAAGCAA
rnacentral:misc_RNA from 1 species